GCCCUCGUAGUAUAAACUUAAUACACCGGUCUUGUAAACCGGGGAUGGAUAACUCUCCCUAGGACA
rnacentral:tRNA from 1 species